UUUUUUUCCUGUCUCUCUCACAGCAUCUCCAUAAAUAGCCUAGUCCAGUCAGGUGCUGGCUGAAAAUUGUGGAUCUUCCUGGAGCAGAGAACCUCACUGAGAACCUGUGGGGUGGGAGUUUAAGAGAGAAGCUUCUGCUGAAGAAGUCCUUGGUGGCUUUCUACCAGUGAUUCCAAGUUGACCCAGUUGCUGGAAGAAGCCCUGGCCAGGAACAGCAAGACCACGGUUAUUUUCUGCCUGUCUCCAACCUUAGAUUCUUGGCACCUAGCGGCUGUGCUGAAGACCUGUAUAGCUCUCUCGCAAGUUAAGAACUUCCCUGUUUUAAAUGAAUACUUUGUAGAGUCAUUGCUUACUCAGUACUGGGCAAGGAUCCUGGCCCUUCAGCACCGACUAUAUGAACACAUGGAUCUUAGGAGUGCCAUGGAGAGUGAGAGCAUAAGCACCCUCCGAGAACAGGUCCAGUGCCUCACCAAUGAAAAUGUGCAGCUGCAGGAUAGGAAUGAAAGACUGUACACAAAGCUUGAAGAACUGCAGGAGAAGAUGGGGAAGCUGGCUGGUUCCAAAACAGACUUGUCAUCCAGACUGGUCUUCAGUGAGGAGGAGAAACUUAAGAUUUCUAAGGACCUCAUUGAUCUCCAGAUCGAGACAAACAAAAUGAGAGAGCAGUAUGAGGCAGAGAACUUUGAACUGAAAAAUAUGAUCCUGACCCUGGAGAACCAUAUUCUGGAGUUGGAGCUCCAUGAUGAGAAGGUCACUGGGGAGCAUGAUGCCCUACAGGAACGCCUGCACACUGUGGAGACCAAUCGCAAGGAGCUGGCUGAUGAGUACAUCAUUCUGAAAAGCAAUUAUAUGGCCCUGGGCAAAGAACAUGAACAGGAGGUUGCUAAGAAUGAAGAGCUGAGCAUAGAGCUGCUAAACCUGGUCAACACCAGGAGCUCCCUUCCUCAGUCAUGGAGUAACAACUCUCCGUCCCAAGCGCUGGCCAAUGAAACCUCAGCUGAGCUGGAAAGGGUGCGGGCUGUGGUCCACCGCCUCUCUGCCCGGAAAGUGAAGCCAGAAGAUAUAGUUGCCUCUGAACACGAACGUCGAAAACUGGAGAGACAUAUGCUUGGAAACCAGGAUCACAUAAAAGCUGAGAUUGAAAAGAUGAAGCAAACGUACGAUUCUCAGCAACAGAAGCUGGAACAGAGAGUGGUGGCAAUGGGGAAGGAGCUGCAGCAGUCCAAGAGAGUGAUUCGCAAUACUCAGCACAAACUGGUGGAGCAGUCAGUGGUGCUGCUCACCUCUCAGAGCCAGCUCAAAGAGGUGGAGGUUGAGAAUUCCCAACUGCAACUUCAGCUGAAGGAACUGAAUGAGGAAUAUCGCUGUCGUCUUACUCAGUACAUCAAGGACCUGGCGGAAUAUAUGGACAGUAAAUCAAAUGCUUCUAAGGUGCCUAACAAAGUACCAGCUGACCAUGCUUACAUGAAGCGCUUUGUGGAUGGCAUGGUGAAGGACAUUCGGGCUGCCCAUAAAUCUCGGGAAGAGCAGCUGGCUGGAGCUGUGCGUGGUUACAAGAAGCGCAUGCAGAACCUUGUCAAGAGGCAUGAAAACCUGCUGAUUGCUUAUAGGAUGCAGCGUGAGCAGAUCCAGUCUCAGGGCAGCAGCGAGAUGGACCCAGGCCCUCCUGAGUUCCAUUUCACCAUCACAGAUUCUGAGCUACUGACAAGCACAACCCAGGAGCUAAACCAGCUGCGAGAGGACAAAGCAAAACUAGAGACACAGCUGCAUGAACUGCAGGAGAUGAAAAGACUGAGUGAAAGCUCUGCGCUAGGACCAUCCCUUCACCACAAGCUGGAUGAGGAGGGCUGGGCAGAGAUCAGGAAGCAGCUCCGGGAUUUCACACAUACCAUGCAGGAAGAUCUGGAGAAGGAGAGAAGCCAGCUACUGACUCGGGCAAUUGUGGCAGAAGAGCAGGUGCUGGAGCUGCAGGAAUAUGUAGAUAAGCAUCUUGCAAGGUACAAGCAGGAGAUCCUGAGGUUAAGGAAACUUGUAGGGAGCGAGGCACCCAGAGCAUUCAGUGCUGGGGCUUCUGAUGCUCAUUUAAUGCAGAGAUCCAAAAGGACCAUCAGCCAUGAACUGUAGCUUUUGCCAUGGCCCUGACAAGCAGCAGUCAUUAGUUCAUCAUAGGAAAGACAAGGACAUAAAACUGAGUGGCUGCCUGGCUGUAAUAUUCAGUGCUCUGUCACACCAAGAGAUAAUCCACUCCAGCGAGCGCUCUUCAUCCUGGGGCCCUCUUACUAGAGGACUAGGACUUGCUGAGAAGGAAAUCAGCAGUAUACAUUUGACCCUACAGAGUAAACAGUAAUGGCCCAGAAGGGGGCUGGCUCCAUGGAGAUGAGAAGUAAACACCCAAACCAAGCCAAGGACACCAAUGCCAGCAAGAUCUACAGUACAGAUCCGUUUAUGUGCGGAUGGGGGGAGUCAAGCCGUCACAACUGCGUGUUAACGGACCGCGGGUUAAGAGGGCCAUGCUGAAAUAUCUUAAGAUAUCUAUAUAUACAUAUGUAUAAUUAUCUAGGAUUACAUACGUAUUCACAGUGUCCCAAAUACCGAAGGCCUAUCUGUUAACGGUGCUUUGCAAGAAUAUAAAUUCAAAUGUGUAAUCUAAUAAAAAUAUUAUUAUUACUAAACAGGGGUGAAAGAAACUCAGGACACUUACCGGUACAGGGCGGGGGUGGCUCUGGCCCCCAGAAGGGGCAGGGCUAGGGGUCAGCAUCCCCCAGCCAGCCCUUCCUGGCCACCUGGUCCGUGCUGCCCGGGGUUCCCAUGGUGAUUUAAAGGGCGGCGUCUGGAGCCCCAGGCCCUUUUAAAUUGCUGACCCCAGGGCAGCUGCUCCCUUUGCCCCCCUGCCCAUCGGCAGCCGAGGGGGGGCAAAAGGGGCAGGGACCUUAAAGCGCUGCAGGGUCCUUUGCUGCAGCAGCGCUUUAACGUUGCUGCGCCCACCCACCCCCGUCGGUGGCCCAGCGCUGCUGCAGCAAAGGACUGUCCUUAAAGCACUGCAGCACUUUAAUGUCCCUGCCCUUUUUGCCUCCCCUGUUGG